UUCCUUUUACGUUUGUCGCAAUUCCGCUACAACCAAACACUCCCCAAGCCCAACGACGACACGAAUAUAUACUCUCUCUCUCUCCCAACUCCAGAACUUUCAUUCACGAAAAUGCGCUUCAGUGUUUCGAAAUUAAGCUAACGGUUCUAUUUAUUUAUUCAUUUUCAAUUUCUCGUUGUUGUUUUUUAAUUUUUGCUUUGUGUCGAUGGGAGCGGUGACGUCGUCGAUGGCGGCGAAGUUCGCGUUCUUUCCGCCGGAUCCGCCGUCGUACACGGUGGAGGAGGAGGCGGGGGGGAGGGCGAGGAUGGUGGAGGUGGCGACGCGGGAAAACGUCGACGUAUUGAAGGUGCGAACGGAGAGAGGGAACAGCGUCGUGGCGAUGUAUAUUAAGAAUCCAACGGCGUCGUUGACUUUGCUUUACUCGCACGGAAACGCCGCUGAUCUGGGUCAGAUGUACGAGUUGUUCAGCGAACUCAGUAUCCACCUCCGAGUUAACCUCAUGGGUUAUGAUUAUUCUGGAUAUGGGCAGUCCUCUGGGAAGCCUAGUGAGCAGAACACUUAUGCAGAUAUAGAAGCUGUUUAUAAAUGUCUGCAGGAGAAGUAUGGGGCAAAAGAGGAAGAUAUUGUUCUGUAUGGACAAUCUGUUGGUAGCGGACCCACCAUAGAUUUGGCCAGUCGUUUACCAAACCUUAGGGCUGUGAUUCUCCACAGUCCAAUCUUAUCUGGCCUUCGUGUCAUGUAUCCUGUGAAGCGCACAUACUGGUUCGACAUUUAUAAGAACAUUGAUAAAAUCCCCUUAGUGAAUUGUCCUGUUCUCGUGAUUCAUGGAACAGCUGAUGAUGUAGUGGAUUGUUCCCACGGGAAACAACUUUGGGAAAAUUGUAAACAAAAGUAUGAGCCCUUAUGGAUUAAAGGAGGAAAUCACUGUGAUUUGGAGCUUUACCCUCAAUAUAUAAAGCACCUCAAGAAAUUCAUUACAGUCAUUGAGAAGUCACCACAUCAAAAGACUGGAUCUGGUCAUAUUCCCGAUCAACCGGACAAACCUAGGAACAGCAUAGAUUUUCGAGAGAAAUCCAGACCCAGCAUGGAUCUGAGGGAGAAUUUGAGGAGUAUUGAUCACAAAGAAAAGCCUAGUGCAAGCAUAGACCUUAAAGAGAAGUCAAGAGCCAGCAUAGACAGGAGAGAGAAAUCAAGAAAGAGUAUAGAUCGCCCUGAGAAGGCAUAUAAUGGAACAGAUAUACCUGAAAAGGCUAGAAAUAGCAUUGACCGUUUUGGGGAGAUGGUGAGAUCGGUUGGAUUGUGCAAUAUUGAUUGUUUCAGGCCCACAGCGACUCAUGCAUAAAGAAGAUGAUGGAGCGUGUAUCCAGAGCUUGUAUUUUUCUCAUUAAUUAUUUGAUUGGUUACCUAUGCCAAGGCCUGUGCCAUGCCCUGGCCUUGGAAUGAGCCUGACGACUGGAAGUUACAUGGAUCAAAAUCCAAUAGCAGGGGAUUGGCUCUACCCAGGUUUUUUUGGUUUAUAGCGACUGUUUAUUAGGCUUUUUAUUUAUUUAUUUAUUUACUGGGGAAAGCUUGUAUCUGCAAGAAGCAUUUGCCCAUUUUCCACCCGCUGCAAAGCUUGGGGUAGAAGGAAUAUGUUUGAGCCAAAAUAAGAGAAAGAAAUACUGUGUUUCAAUUUAUAUCAAACAAAAUUGUCUCCUUUUUAA